rnacentral:rRNA from 1 species
UACGUAGGCAGCGAGCGUUGUUCGGAGUUACUGGGCGUAAAGCGUGCGUAGGCGGUUGUCUAAGUUUGGUGUGAAAUCUCCUGGCUUAACUGGGAGGGUGCGCCGAAAACUGGGUGACUGGAGUGUCGGAGAGGUAAGCGGAAUUCCUGGUGUAGCGGUGAAAUGCGUAGAGAUCAGGAGGAACACCUGUGGUGAAGACGGGUUGCUGGGCUGAUACUGACGCUGAGGCGCGAAAGCGUGGGGAGCGAACAGG